rnacentral:siRNA from 1 species
AGAAUGCAAAUCCUUAGCUAU